CAUGUACUCCCUCCGUUCGGAAUUACUUGUCUCAAAAAUGGAUGUAUCUAGAACUAGUUCUAGAUACAUCUAUUUCUACGACAAAUAAUUCCGAACGGAGGGAGUACAUA
rnacentral:pre_miRNA from 1 species